GUUAAUGGGUGAUGGCGUGCCUUUUGUAGAAUGAACCGGCGAGUUACGAUUUGAUGCAAGGUUAAGCAGUAAAUGUGGAGCCGUAGCGAAAGCGAGUCUGAAUAGGGCGUUUAGUAUUUGGUCGUAGACCCGAAACCAGGUGAUCUACCCUUGGUCAGGUUGAAGUUCAGGUAACACUGAAUGGAGGACCGAACCGACUUACGUUGAAAAGUGAGCGGAUGAACUGAGGGUAGCGGAGAAAUUCCAAUCGAACCUGGAGAUAGCUGGUUCUCUCCGAAAUAGCUUUAGGGCUAGCCUCAAGUGAUGAUUAUUGGAGGUAGAGCACUGUUUGGACGAGGGGCCCCUCUCGGGUUACCGAAUUCAGACAAACUCCGAAUGCCAAUUAAUUUAACUUGGGAGUCAGAACAUGGGUGAUAAGGUCCGUGUUCGAAAGGGAAACAGCCCAGACCACCAGCUAAGGUCCCAAAAUAUAUGUUAAGUGGAAAAGGAUGUGGCGUUGCCCAGACAACUAGGAUGUUGGCUUAGAAGCAGCCAUCAUUUAAAGAGUGCGUAAUAGCUCACUAGUCGAGUGACACUGCGCCGAAAAUGUACCGGGGCUAAACAUAUUACCGAAGCUGUGGAUUGUCCUUUGGACAAUGGUAGGAGAGCGUUCUAAGGGCGUUGAAGCAUGAUCGUAAGGACAUGUGGAGCGCUUAGAAGUGAGAAUGCCGGUGUGAGUAGCGAAAGACGGGUGAGAAUCCCGUCCACCGAUUGACUAAGGUUUCCAGAGGAAGGCUCGUCCGCUCUGGGUUAGUCGGGUCCUAAGCUGAGGCCGACAGGCGUAGGCGAUGGAUAACAGGUUGAUAUUCCUGUACCACCUAUAAUCGUUUUAAUCGAUGGGGGGACGCAGUAGGAUAGGCGAAGCGUGCGAUUGGAUUGCACGUCUAAGCAGUAAGGCUGAGUAUUAGGCAAAUCCGGUACUCAUUAAGGCUGAGCUGUGAUGGGGAGAAGAC
rnacentral:rRNA from 1 species